rnacentral:rRNA from 1 species
AUGGCGAGGCAGAGAAGCGGUGGCGCGGGCAUCGAGGGAAGUAGAGGCAACCGAAGGAUCCGGCCGUGGCUGGAGGCAGAGGAGGUACGGGGCGACGGGGGCAGACUGUGCUCGGCGGCGUCGGAGGAUGACGCUACGGCGCAGCCGGGGCAGAGCAGCGAUGGAGCUGGAGGCCUACGCGCGGGAUCGGGCGCUGUACGUGCUCAGUGUUGGGGAAGGAGGCGGUGCAUCGGAGGGGGUCGAGGUGUGAGGGAGGCUGCGGAGGGUCGAGAGGGAGGAGGAGGUGAUGGGGAUCGAGAUCGGGCACUGGGUUCUGGCGAAUUUAGACCAAAUGAGUUAGAAGUGGACGUAGGAGUUAGAAAUGUCCAAAAUGAUGAACAUUUGGCGGAGCUUGGGAAGGUGACAAAAGAAUUUAUAGCAAGGUUGGAGGCCAGGAAUUGA